AUCCAAAAUUCACCCAGAUCCGUUCAGUACUUUGGAAGAUACAGUUUAAUGCAGAUUCUGCAGAACAUAUACAGGCUAAAUGAAAAACAAUCACUUUAUAAUGUGUCCCCUGCUGUAUAGUCCAAAACCACUGCACGAUGUCUCUGUGCACCAAAUACUGGCAAGAUGGCACCGUGUUGAAAAGUCCAAACAGUGUCUGUGAGUUAAAAUGGCC